CUGCAAAACCCAAAACAGCAUUCCAAACACCUAGAGGAUUGUUCCAAUUCAAGGUUCUGCCAUUUGGCCUGGUCAAUAGUGGUGCUACUUUUGUACGUUGUAUGAGAAAAGUUUUAGAAGGGUUGGAAAACGUUGAUAACUUUGUUGACGAUAUUAUAGUGUACACACGUUCUUUCAAUCACCAUAUGGAGGUUUUGGAGAGUGUAUUUGAGAGGUUGGCAUCUGCUAAUUUGUCAGCAAGACCCUCAAAGUGUUAUAUAGCGUAUAGCAGUCUUGAAGUUUUAGGUCACAUUGUUGGAACAGAUCGUCUUUCACCAAAUCCAGAUAAAAUUGAGGUAAUCAAAAAUGCUCAUAGGCCUACAACC
rnacentral:lncRNA from 1 species